rnacentral:lncRNA from 1 species
AUAAUAAACCCUUUUACAGAUAAAUUUUGAUGUACAUGAAAUUGAUCCAACUACACUGGAAUUUGACAUUUCCUUUGAAAUAAAAUGUUUGGGAGAAAACAUUGAAAAUAAAGACCUGGUAAAAUUCAAUAUUAUUGUACAAAAUAAUCCAUAUAUCGAAGGUAAAUCUGAUCCAGAAGAUUUUGAAUACAAUGAUGAAAGCCCCGAAGAAGGAGAGAGCGAGGUUAUACUCCACCAUAUGUUUACACUCGGAAAUUUUGGACCAUCUCCAAU